ensembl:lncRNA
CCAGGAGAGAAGCGGUGCCUAUUAUGUAUUCCAUUAAUUACAUUGUACUGUAUUACACCUAACUAUUUUUGGGGAAAUUAAUUUUAACCCAUUGUUGUGUUCAAAAUAUAUAUUUACUUUAGUAUAAUUUUUUUUUUAUCUCGCCCUGAAGUUCCAAUGUUUGAGAAUAUAUAGCACUAGUCCUGUACUAAGUUUGGCAUUCAUGAAAUGACAGAAAUAAUCUAAAGUUGUCCUCUUUCAGACUGGGCUAAACCAGUUUCAAAUUGACAUUGUUCCACUAUAUAGUAUUGUAUUUUCUUUCAAAACCAUACUUUGGCCACAACUAAUAUUUCAUGGUGUCCCUUCAUGUGUUGUAUGACUCAACAACCUUAUUUAGGUAUGAAUGGCAUUUAUGAUUAUGGAAUAAUUACUUGAAUAGUUACUUAUUGUUACUAUCUAUCUAUCUAUCUAUCUAUCUAUCUAUCUAUCUACUUGCCUUAAUACAUGUGUCAUUUGUUGAGUUAUAUGUCAUUGGUAAACUUUAUUAUUUAUUAUUUGUAGGUUGUUCUUUCCGGCACCAACUUUUGCCAAAAAUGAAUUAACUGAUUACAAUGGCAUUACUACGCUCUAAGGUUGUUUAACCUAGAUGUUUUUUUGUUUUUUUAAUCUAUGCACUUGGAUAGGACCAUCUGCAAAUUGACUAAAAUAUACAUAUUAAUAUUAUGUGUUGUCAUCUUUUAAUAUAUAUAUAUUAGCCAUCAGGUUGACAACAGUUUAUUUAUAAGCAUACUUCCUUUUCAAAAUGAAUUCAUAGAGUGUAACAAAUUGGAUAAUAGUAAUGUUUAACGAGUGUGGUAAUGAAUAUUAUCUUCCAUAUUUACUAAUACUGCAGUUGGUCAUUAAAGUAAUGGAGACACUUAUCAAGGCAUUUACAGAUAAGUGUUUGAUUAUUUUGUGUCCUCCUAUAAAGUGUGAACCCUAUAUCUAUAAUAAAGAUUCAAUAUUUAUAAAUUACCCAGUGACUACACAAAGUCUGACUACAGUCAUGCAAUACAAAGGGCUGAAAAUGAACGAGUGUGGUAAUGAAUAUUAUCUUCCAUAUUUACUAAUACUGCAGUUGGUCAUUAAAGUAAUGGAGACACUUAUCAAGGCAUUUACAGAUAAGUGUUUGAUUAUUUUGUGUCCUCCUCUAAAGUCUGAACCCUAUAUCUAUAAUAAAGAUUCAAUAUUUAUAAAUUACCCAGUGACUACACAAAGUCUGACUACAGUCAUGCAAUACAAAGGGCUGAAAAUGAAUGAAAACAUACCCGUUUCUGUUGAAGAUAAAAUGUAUAAACACUUAUUAAGUUUUACUAGAAUAUUACAUUCACUAUGUGAUUAAUUAUUUCUUUGUAUUGCUCCAGCAUGUCACUGUUUCAUGAGAGCUCUUUGGUGCCAUUCUGUUUACCUAGUCUAUCCAAUGUUUUUUCACAAUCAUGUUAGACCUUUGAGCACACAGGUGAGGUUGGACAAGUUUCCAAGCCCAUCUACAAUAAUAUGGUUCCCUGUGUAAAGCAAACAAAACAAAAGACAAAGAAAAAAAAAACAAUAGUGGCUUGGUUAUUCCAGUUAAGUAUGGCCACUGGGGUAUCUAUGGGUUCAAGUCCACAAAAAUAUACCAAACGAGCAUGACUGCCUCAUUAAUUUCUAAAAUCAUACAUAAAGACAGGUCUUAAUUUAAUUAAUUUUAUUUGUUAUUAGCUUUAAACUAGACAAGGUAGAGACAUGGGAGUAAAUUUUUCUCUCCCGACUUCUGGAAAUGGCCAUUUCAUUUUUAUUUCCUUCCAAAAAGGGAAGUUAGGAAAGGAAUUAAAGGUAGAGCUGGUGGGGCAGCUGGGGCAGCUGGGGCUGCUGGGGCAGCUAGAGCAGGAAGGCCAGGUAGAGCGGGUAGGGCAGGUAGAGCGGGUAGGGCAGGUAGAGCAGGUGGGGCAGGUAGGGCGGGUAGGGGAGGAAAGGGAGGUAUGGCAGGAAAUGGGGGUAUGGCAGGUAAGGCAGGAAGGGGAGGUAUGGCAGGUGGGGCAGGUAGGGCAGGUAGGGCCGGCAGGGGAGGAAGGGGUGCAGGAACCGGUGCAGAAGCAGCAGUGCGUCUGGCCAAUAGUAAGGGCAGCAGGGCCAUCAGGGUGGUGUCACUCUGGGGAGGCUGGGGGUAGUACUGAGGAUAGGGGUGGAACCCCAUAAAACCCCUAUAUCCCUGUAAUAGGAAGAAAGAUGAGAAUUAAAGUUACUGGAAAGUAGGAAGUAGGAAGCUAAACUAAACGUGCAAGCUGUAUUGUGGGACUAUCAUAGACAGUACCACAUAACAAUCAGUAAUCGGAUAUACUGACCUCAUGACUCGAAGAGCGCUCCUCUCUAUUAUGUUUCUUAGACACCUGCACCCACAAAAAGAAUUCCAGAAUUAAUGUUAUUACGGUACAAAUACAUCCACAUUUAAAGUUGUGAACAAUCAGCCCAUGAUACAUAAGUCAAUUAUUUUCUUAUUUUAAUACGAAGAAAUUGAUGGAAUAUGUAGAAUGUCUUGAACUAUGGAUUUGUAAAGAGCAGGACAAAUUUUGUUAUUCUAGAAAACUUACAGGAAUGGAGGAACACAGGCACAUCACUAGGCACAUCACUAGAACUUGUAGUUUCAUGGUUGCCAGGACUUCUUUAAAUUAAGAAGACAUUAUUUUUAAAUCUACUGUAGACAUGAAUACCACAUUUUACAGUAGAGUGUACUAUGAAACUCUUACCUGUUCAAGUGAAGAUUUAAAAUAGGAAAAAGUUAGUUCUGAAGCUGAGAU